UAUCACUAAGCGGAGGAAAAGAAACUAACCAGGAUUCCCCCAGUAGCGGCGAGUGAAGCGGGAAGAGCCCAUCGCCGAAUCCCCGAGCCCGACCGGGCCCGGGGAGCUGUGGCGUGAGGCGGCUUCGGGCACGCGAGGUUCCGGCGCCGAGGUCCUCCUGAUAGGGGCGCCUUUUACCCAGAGCGGGUGUCAGGCCCGUUCGGGCCCCGGACCUCUCGGGCCUGGAGUCACCAAGAGUCGGGUAGUUUUGGAAUGCUGCCCAAAGAGGGGUGGUGAACUCCAUCCAAGGCUAAAUACUGGCACGAGACCGAUAGCAGACAAGUACCGUGAGGGAAAGUUGAAAAGCACUUUGGAAAGAGAGUUCCCGUCUUGAAACACGGACCAAGGAGUCUAACGGGCCCGCGAGUCAAGGGGCCUUUACGAAACCCCACGGCGCAAUGAAGGUGUAGGUCGGCUCGGUCGGCCGAGGUGGGAUCCCGCCCCGCGAGGGGCGGGCGCACCACCGCCCCGCCAUGUCCGCUUUGCUCGGUGUGGCGGAGGCAGAGCGGGCACGCUAGGACCCGAAAGAUGGUGAACUAUGCCCGAGCAGGACGAAGCCAGAGGAAACUCUGGUGGAGGUCCGCAGCGAUUCUGACGUGCAAAUCGAUCGUCCGACUUGGGUAUAGGGGCGAAAGACUAAUCGAACCAUCUAGUAGCUGGUUCCCUCCGAAGUUU
rnacentral:rRNA from 1 species